GUGACAGCCCUGGGAGACUGAAGUUCUCUGUUUAUCCACAACAUGUGCAGUAAAAAUGCAAGCUUUUCCCCUAUCUGCAUUGCUACUGGGAAUAUUUGGGGGGUGGGAGGGUAUUUUAGUUUCCAUGUCCAUUCAAUCUGUGGCCUUU
ensembl:misc_RNA